AAAUUUGUGACGCCAUAAUAAAUAAUCCAACACUAUUUUACUAUACAGAUAUUUACAAAAUAUAGUGUUUUAUAUAUAUCUAUAUAUAUACUUACAAUUCUAGGAUAAGUAAAAGUAGUCUUGAUAAGUGUUAGACAUGUUGCGAAGAACCAGAAGAUACCAAACGCGCACCAUGUAGCCGUUCCAAGUAAAAGACUCAGCAUUGAAGGAUUAGAAUUGUAGAACCUAUAAACAAUAAAGAUUUUAACUA